UGUCAAAAACUCAUGAAAAACUUCUUCUUUGACUAAUCAUAAGAGGGCUUCUUUUUGAUUAUGUAUGCAACCUUAGAGCAUUAAGAGAUUUUCUACAUCCAUACUCUCAAGCUUGCAUUUGUACCAAAUGCACUCAAGUAUUUAGCAUCAUCAAAAUCAAUCUUUGGGUUAACAAUCAUAGUAUUUUUGAUUGUUUAUGAUAAACAUCUAAAGUGUCAUAUUAAAUAGCAUAUACAAUAUAUAAGCACCAAAAGUAUCACACUAUAUGCAUUCUUACAAACAGUGAGCUAAACCUUAUAUCAAUGUUCACUAAAAUAUAAAAU
rnacentral:lncRNA from 1 species